rnacentral:rRNA from 1 species
GACGAACGCUGGCGGCGUGCCUAAUACAUGCAAGUUGAGCGAUGAAGAUUGGUGCUUGCACCAAUUUGAAGAGCAGCGAACGGGUGAGUAACGCGUGGGGAAUCUGCCUUUGAGCGGGGGACAACACUUGGAAACGAAUGCUAAUACCGCAUAACAACUUUAAACAUAAGUUUUAAGUUUGAAAGAUGCAAUUGCAUCACUCAAAGAUGAUCCCGCGUUGUAUUAGCUAGUUGGUGAGGUAAAGGCUCACCAAGGCGAUGAUACAUAGCCGACCUGAGAGGGUGAUCGGCCACAUUGGGACUGGGACACGGCCCCAAAGUCUACGGGAGGCAGCAGUAGGGAAACUUCGGCAAUGGACGAAAGGCUGACCGAGCAACGCCGCGGGAGGGAAGAAGGGUUUCGGAUCGUAAAACUCUGUUGGUAGGGAAGAACGUUGGGGAGAGUGGAAAGCUCAUCAAGUGACGGUAACUACCCAGAAAGGGACGGCUAACUACGUG